UGGGGAAUUUUGGACAAUAGGCGCAAGCCUGAUCCAGCCAUGCCGCGUGCGGGAAGAAGGCCUUCGGGUUGUAAACCGCUUUGUCAGGGAAGAAAUCUUCUGAGUUAAUACCUCGGGAGGAUGACGGUACCUGAAGAAUAAGCACCGGCUAACUACGUGCCAGCAGCCGCGGUAAUACGUAGGGUGCAAGCGUUAAUCGGAAUUACUGGGCGUAAAGCGUGCGCAGGCGGUUUUGUAAGACAGAGGUGAAAUCCCCGGGCUCAACCUGGGAACUGCCUUUGUGACUGCAAGGCUUGAGUGCGGCAGAGGGGGAUGGAAUUCCGCGUGUAGCAGUGAAAUGCGUAGAUAUGCGGAGGAACACCGAUGGCGAAGGCAAUCCCCUGGGCCUGCACUGACGCUCAUGCACGAAAGCGUGGGGAGCAAACCAGGAUUAGAUACCCUGGUAGUCACGCCCUAAACGAUGUC
rnacentral:rRNA from 1 species